AGCGAACGCUGGCGGCAGGCUUAACACAUGCAAGUCGAGCGGGCAUCCUUGUGGUGUCAGCGGCAGACGGGUGAGUAACGCGUGGGAACGUGCCCUUCGGUUCGGAAUAACUCAGGGAAACUUGAGCUAAUACCGGAUACGCCCUUUUGGGGAAAGGUUUACUGCCGAAGGAUCGGCCCGCGUCUGAUUAGCUCGUUGGUGAGGUUAUGGCUCACCAAGGCGACGAUCAGUAGCUGGUCUGAGAGGAUGAUCAGCCACACUGGGACUGAGACACGGCCCAGACUCCUACGGGAGGCAGCAGUGGGGAAUAUUGGACAAUGGGGGCAACCCUGAUCCAGCCAUGCCGCGUGAGUGAUGACGGCCUUAGGGUUGUAAAGCUCUUUUCUCCGGGACGAUAAUGACGGUACCGGAGGAAUAAGCCCCGGCUAACUUCGUG
rnacentral:rRNA from 1 species